rnacentral:rRNA from 1 species
AACGAACGCUGGCGGCAGGCUUAACACAUGCAAGUCGAGCGCCCCGCAAGGGGAGCGGCAGACGGGUGAGUAACACGUGGGAAUCUACCCAUCCCUGCGGAACAACUCCGGGAAACUGGAGCUAAUACCGCAUACGCCCUACGGGGGAAAGAUUUAUCGGGGAUGGAUGAGCCCGCGUUGGAUUAGCUAGUUGGUGGGGUAAAGGCCUACCAAGGCGACGAUCCAUAGCUGGUCUGAGAGGAUGAUCAGCCACAUUGGGACUGAGACACGGCCCAAACUCCCACGGGAGGCAGCAGUGGGGAAUAUUGGACAAUGGGCGCAAGCCUGAUCCAGCCAUGCCGCGUGAGUGAUGAAGGCCUUAGGGUUGUAAAGCUCUUUCAACGGUGAAGAUAAUGACGGUAACCGUAGAAGAAGCCCCGGCUAACUUCGUGCCAGCCGCCGCGGUAAAAC